GGCGUCCAGUGUCUCCUCUCAGUCUUCCUGCAGUUCUCUCUGCUCCUAUGCGCACUCCCUAUGCGCACUCUCUGUAGUGAUGCCGAGGGCAGAGUGAUGUCAUGUCACUAAACAGCACGCAAGGGAGCAGAGAGGAACUGCAGGAAGGUUACUGCUCCCUCACGCGUCAUCUCCAUGCUCCCCGUGUGGCCUGCUCUAAUGUUUCCUGCGCGGCUUAGCAAAGGGCUAAAAAAUGGCAGGCGCCAGGGCGAAAUGUCUAGUACCCAUGGCGACCUAGCGCCUGGACUUUGUCAAGCCCUGUGUAUGUAUGUAUGUAUACAUAUAUACACACACUUUUUAUAACUGCCCCCCUUCUUUUGUCCCUGGCCUCUUAUGUGGCCCCCCAUAAGUAUGGAUCCUGGAGACGCCGCUGGAGGUGCUUCUGCGACCCUGGAUGCGAAAAUCGCAUUCAGGAUGCAGAACGUCCAUAGGAAAGCAUUGAGAAAUGCUUUCCUAUGGACUGUUUGAAUGCACGCGCAGCUCUUGCCACGCAUGUGCAUU